AUAAUAUAAGUAUUUAGUACAAUUGAUUUCCAAUCAAAAGGAGAUUAAAUAUU
rnacentral:tRNA from 1 species